AGUCAAACGAUGAACAAAAGAAGUAACAAUAGAUUCUUUUAUAGAGAGUUAGUGAUUGGUGUAAACUAACAAAGAUAUAUUGUGAAUAACAUUUGUGAGUGCUUAAAGAAAUUAAGUAAACUAAGCCGUAUAUCUACGUUACAGAUAAGAGUGAUCAAUUUUGAUAACUAGGGUGGUACCGCGGAUUCAACAGUUAUUCGUCCCUUAU
rnacentral:ncRNA from 1 species